GAUGAACGCUAGCUACAGGCUUAACACAUGCAAGUCGAGGGGAAACGAUAUUGGAAGCUUGCUUCCGAUAGGCGUCGACCGGCGCACGGGUGAGUAACGCGUAUCCAACCUGCCCAUCACUUGGGAAUAACCUUGCGAAAGUAAGACUAAUGCCCAAUGACAUUUAUAGAAGGCAUCGGAAAUGAAUUAAAGAUUUAUCGGUGAUGGAUGGGGAUGCGUCUGAUUAGCUUGUUGGCGGGGUAACGGCCCACCAAGGCGACGAUCAGUAGGGGUUCUGAGAGGAAGGUCCCCCACAUUGGAACUGAGACACGGUCCAAACUCCUACGGGAGGCAGCAGUGAGGAAUAUUGGUCAAUGGAGGCAACUCUGAACCAGCCAUGCCGCGUGCAGGAUGAAGGCCCUAUGGGUCGUAAACUGCUUUUAUACCAGAGAAAACCCUUCCACGUGUGGAAGGUUGAUAGUAUGGUAAGAAUAAGCAUCGGCUAACUCGUGCCAGCAG
rnacentral:rRNA from 1 species